GGCUUCUUAAACAGGACAGAGGUCCAGGGUGACUUCCCAUGGCACACAAGGCAGCGGGUAUGGCUGGGACUUGGAACCCUGGUCAUGGGACCUGGGUACUUGCCGCUCUCCAUCCCUUCUGCCUUCCGGUGAGCAGAGGCUGAUAUGGUCAGCAGGAGGUGAGGGGGUGCCUUUGAUAUCAGGAUCGUCAACUCUCCUAUGGCCCGAGUCCAGCAAGGCACUGCCACCUUGUCCAGACCAUGCUCUGUGUGAAUCUUGGUCCACCCUUCCCCUACCUGUAUCAUUUUGGAAGAUUGCUAUCAGGUUUCCUGCAGGAAUCCCUAUCAGUGGUCUGUUUGGAAAGAUUGCCUGUUUAUUUGUCUUCAGAAAGCAGGACAUGCAGUAUGACAUAAAUAGAGAAAGUGCUCGGCAGUGUCUGUUCACACAGUAUCCUUGAGCCUCAGACAGACGAGGAGACAGCGGGGCAGGUACCCACAGCUCUUCCCGAAGCUUCCAUUGCAGUGAGGGACCAGGAGCUGGCUUCUCUUGCUGAGGAUCCCCAGGUAGACCUUGUCAGGGAUCACUUGGAGAAGUCCUGAGUUGUCCUUACCUGCUCACGUCUUGUUGGCUCCUCCAAGCAGUCGACAUGAGUCAUACAGUUUCCUGUGGGUGACCUGUCUGUAGGUCUGCCAUCCGUCUGUCCUGGCAGCGUAUACACUGUGAACUGUCACAGGCAGAGCUGAGCCCGUCUUUGGUCUUAGUAUCUGGCAUGGUGUCUGGCAUGUUAUAGGCUUUCUCUGUUUGAUGAAUAUCGUUAAAAACCUCAGCUGCUGCCAGGGAGGAGAACUCUUCAGGUCGUCCCUUGGAAUAUGGACUGAGGGCCCAAAGCUUGCCGUAUGGACUUUGGCUUUCUCGUGAUCUCUUCUCCCUUCCAACCUAUUUCCUGACAUUUUUCUGUGAUGAUGAAAGUCCUGAAGCCUUGGGUGAAUAGCUCUGAAGAGGCCAAAGUUAAAAGUACCCUCUCUGGCUUCAGAUAUUCUCCAGACAAUAUCUCCCUGCACCAUCUCUGCCUUCUUGUCUGUUGGGCUGGAAGUCCCAGUGAAUGUCAUCCUUCAUGUGGGGCCAUGACUACGCCAUCCUCCUGGGCAAGGCUAGGAAGGGGACAUGGUGUGGAGACUGGCGUCUGUGAAGUCUUCAGCCAGUAUUUGUGGAAUAUGGAUGAACUCAUGAAUGAAGUUUGGAAAACAUCUGCAUUUGGAAGAAAACACUCUCCCUCUGACAUCGGGUGAGUUUAAAAUGUUUGGGAGUCAUCAUUUCCACAAGGACCCCCAUUCCCUUCUCCUCCCUCACAGCACCCACCCAUCUGUGCCCACCUGGCUAAUCACAGGAGCUAUUUUUAUACCUGAUGUUGUGGGAAGGUGGAAGAUUAACAGCCCCAGAGACGCACAUCUCUGCUAUUAAUAUUAAACAGGGUAUUAAUUUUACCCGUAACAGAUAUUAAACAUG